GUGCUCAUUUUGGCAGCACAUGUAUACUAAAAUAAAAAUGAUUCAGAGAAGAUUAGCAUGACCCCUGCAUAAGGAUGACAUGCAAAUUCAAGGAAGUGAAAAAUAUGGGU
ensembl:snRNA U6 U6 spliceosomal RNA